CUUGGUCAUUUAGAGGAAGUAAAAGUCGUAACAAGGUCUCCGUUGGUGAACCAGCGGAGGGAUCAUUACCGAGUUUACAACUCCCAAACCCCUGUGAACAUACCUAUACGUUGCCUCGGCGGAUCAGCCCGCGCCCCGUAAAAAGGGACGGCCCGCCCGAGGACCCUAAACUCUGUUUUUAGUGGAACUUCUGAGUAAAACAAACAAAUAAAUCAAAACUUUCAACAACGGAUCUCUUGGUUCUGGCAUCGAUGAAGAACGCAGCAAAAUGCGAUAAGUAAUGUGAAUUGCAGAAUUCAGUGAAUCAUCGAAUCUUUGAACGCACAUUGCGCCCGCCAGUAUUCUGGCGGGCAUGCCUGUUCGAGCGUCAUUUCAACCCUCAAGCUCAGCUUGGUGUUGGGACUCGCGGUAACCCGCGUUCCCCAAAUCGAUUGGCGGUCACGUCGAGCUUCCAUAGCGUAGUAAUCAUACACCUCGUUACUGGUAAUCGUCGCGGCCACGCCGUAAAACCCCAACUUCUGAAUGUUGACCUCGGAUCAGGUAGGAAUACCCGCUGAACUUAAGCAUAUCAAUAAGCGGAGGA
rnacentral:rRNA from 1 species